UACGUAGGGUGCGAGCGUUUGUCCGGAAUUAUUGGGCGUAAAGGGCUCGUAGGCGGUUUGUCGCGUCGGGAGUGAAAACGCCGGGCUUAACUCGGUGCUUGCUUUCGAUACGGGCAGACUAGAGGCAUGCAGGGGAGAACGGAAUUCCUGGUGUAGCGGUGAAAUGCGCAGAUAUCGAGGGGGAACACCGGUGGCGAAGGCGGUUCUCUGGGUAUUACCUGACGCUGAGGAGCGAAAGUGUGGGGGAGCGAACAGG
rnacentral:rRNA from 1 species